rnacentral:rRNA from 1 species
AUUGAACGCUGGCGGCAUGCUUUACACAUGCAAGUCGAACGGCAGCGGGCCUUCGGGUGCCGGCGAGUGGCGAACGGGUGAGUAAUGCAUCGGAACGUGCCAUUGAGUGGGGGGAUAACGUAGCGAAAGUUACGCUAAUACCGCAUAUUCUGUGAGCAGGAAAGCAGGGGACCGCAAGGCCUUGCGCUCUUUGAGCGGCCGAUGUCAGAUUAGCUAGUUGGUGAGGUAAAGGCUUACCAAGGCGACGAUCUGUAGCGGGUCUGAGAGGAUGAUCCGCCACACUGGAACUGAGACACGGUCCAGACUCCUACGGGAGGCAGCAGUGGGGAAUUUUGGACAAUGGGCGCAAGCCUGAUCCAGCCAUGCCGCGUGAGUGAAGAAGGCCUU